ensembl:lncRNA
CACAGCCUUGAGGCUGUUGUUUCUGUUUCUUUUUACUCAGUCUGAGUUUACAGGCUUCAUCAAAUGAAAAACAGAACCAGGACCACCAUGCAGCGCUGUGUCUGUGGGAGGCUUUAAAAGAAGUCCAGGUGUCACAAAGAAGACAGAGCAACAUUGGUUUAGGAAAAGUGGAUCAUCUUUGCCUCAUCAGCCAGGCCAUUUUCUACAGGACGACGGAUCCCGAAGCCCCUGGCAGCCCAACGUUGCCAUCAUCUCCGUAACUGGCAGCUAUAUUGUCCACAGUAGCAGCUGCGACUCGCCUCGGGGACGAAGCUCUUGUCUCACCGCACAUGCUGAAGAGUGUUUCUCUUAGAGACCGUACAAUCAAGAGACCUGUUGUUGCUUCUCAGUUAAAUAUCACACCUAGCAUUUCUGUUUCCUGACCGAGGUAAGCCUAUUUUUAUCAUUCAGUCAUUGUAUAACAAUGCAUGGUAUUCACCUAGUUUUAUUAUGCUAUAGUUUCAAAAAGAAUUUGGGC